GAGAGAGAGAGAGAGAGAGGAAAAGCAAAGCUUCAUCAUUGUUUUUGUCCUCCAGAAUUUUCUUUAGAAUAAGUGUGAGGUACAAUAAUUGACAGCAAGUUGCAUGAAAACAAUGUAUCAUUUAGAAUAGAGGUUUCAGACAUUACCAUUUUCUCUAUUUCUGAAAUCCUGUUAGACUGGUAGAAAUAUCACAAGAGAAAGAAUGAUAUAGGGAUUAGGGAUAGCCAUCAUUCCAAGAUUUUAUUGGAAUCAGCCAUUUCCAUUUUGUUUCAUCUAUUUGCCAUUUUGCUAGAGUUUAUUAUCACUAUUACACAGGAAAACUUUUUCCUUUUCAGUCCCUUUUCCCAACUCCCAAAUAUAAGAUUACAGUGGGCCACUGAGCAAGCCACCUAAAAUUGUUUACCAGCAGAAAUACUAAGUUACUAACAAUUGUUAUUCAUUCAAAGCAAAAGUCUCAGUCUACAUAUUUACAGUUAAACUAAAUUCUAAUAUAAGUUAGAGAGUUGCAGGUAUUUCAAAAGGGAAUUCAAGGAUAAAAUUAUAUUACAUAUAAAGUGAUGGAAGAGAGUUGCAGGUACUUCAAAAGGGAGUUCAAGGAUAAAAUUAAAGUUACAUAUGAUGAGUGAUGGUAGAAUACAUACCUCACUAGGCUUACCCCACAAUCUGCGUAAAUAGAAAUCUGACUCAGCUUCAACAAUUCCUGGU
rnacentral:misc_RNA from 1 species